rnacentral:rRNA from 1 species
AACGAACGCUGGCGGCGUGCCUAACACAUGCAAGUCGAGCGAGAAAGGGGAGCAAUCCCUGAGUAAAGCGGCAGACGGGUGAGUAACACGUGGGUAAUCUGCCCUCGAGCGGGGAAUAACAUCUCGAAAGAGGUGCUAAUACCGCAUAACAUCCAGGGGCCUGAGGGCUUUUGGAUCAAAGGUGGGGAUCUUCGGACCUACCACUCGAGGAGGAGCCCGCGCCUGAUUAGCUAGUUGGUGGGGUAAUGGCCUACCAAGGCGACGAUCAGUAGCCGGCCUGAGAGGGUGAACGGGCCACACUGGAACUGAGACACGGUCCAGACUCCUACGGGAGGCAGCAGGUGGGGAAUAUUGGACAAUGGGCGCAAGCCUGAUCCAGCCAUGCCGCGUGUGU